rnacentral:lncRNA from 1 species
AGGCUAUCCAUAUCCAGCUAGAGCAAAAAACUAUAAGCCAGGUUCUAUCAGCAAGAGCAAAUUUUACAAAUCCUCUCUUGUAAAGGAAAAUGAAGACAGAAAAUAUUUAAUUUGUACCAAAGAAAUGCUAAUUCCACAUGGCUGAUCCCACUGACUUUGCCCUGUAUGAGAUCUCUCAUUCCUCAACUCAUUGCCAAGAGCUGUCUUUUAGAGCAUAUUUUUCACCAGUAUUCUGGACUCUUCCCAGGUGAGCUUCACAUAAAAAUAUGACAGAGGCAUCAUGCAGCUGGUACUGCUCAAAGUCCCUGAUUAGGUAACUAGGAACAUUCAGGUGGGAACCUGCAAACUAUACAUUUUAUUAGGGCUUGCUCUAUGUAUCAUUCUUGAAAGAUGUUGCUUCAGCUCAGAGAAUCAGCAAUAGCAUACUGAAAUGGUCACUUGAAGACCUGUCCCAGGUGAUUUGGAUGAGCAACUCACAUCAGCACAGACCUCUCAAAAGUGAUGUUUACAAGACUGUUAUGAUCAGCAAUUUCCAAGCUGUUUCCAAUUGUAACUACACUUCCAGUUGAGAUACACUUGCAGAAACAAUUUAAUUUCUUUCAGAUGAAUGCUCCUUCUCACAAUGAUUAUCUAUGGAAUUGCUGCCUCUGCUGUGUCCCACUCUGUAAUACUGUUAGUAGAUAUUGCAGAUGGUUGCCUUUUUCUCUUCAUCAUUAAGUGAUGGGACUGAUGGAGAUCAGCUGCUUCACUUUGUAAAUGGCUAGUAUUCUUUCACCUGCUCUGCAUGACUACUGAACUGAGAUGAACUGAAGAGAUGCCACUUUAGAUCUUGAUCUCAACUGAUGUCUCUAGAAGAGAAUAACAAGACUUAUACAGAGAGAGAGGGGAGUGGAAUAGAAGACAGCCUCUGCAAAAUAUUCCCUCAAACAUGCCGUCCAGUUAAAGUAUAUGAACAUGUAGACAAUAAAGUCCACACUAGACAGUUAAUGAAGCUGGGGAAAAAAAAUGGGAAUCUGAACAUAAUGAAAAAUUCAUAAUUUCAGUGCAUGAAAAAUAAGUGAAUGCCCUUUAAUUGUUUGAUUUACUUGCAGAAAGGACAGCUUGGAUAAAUUGAAAAAUUAUUCUGGCUUGUUAAAAACUCUGCACUUUAUGCUAAAUUCUUCAGCUCUGCUGGACAUGUGAAUAUGUGAGGGUAUGAAUCACCACAUGCCCAGUAGCCCACAAACCCAGCCUGGCUUACAGGAGGUUCUUUGAGGAGACAGGGAGUAAUUCUGUGAACAUCAAGCUGGACUCCUCCUCCUCCACUGACUCAUGGGCUGUGGCAGAAGGUGAGGUGGCUGCCGGAGAGCUGGGGAGUGGAAAAUUGAGAGCUGCAGUUGGAGAAAGGGAAGGUAAAUUGUCACUGCUAAUGGAGGGACUAGUGAGGAAAGGUGGUUACUGUGGGGAGUUGAUAUAGGGAAGGCUGUUGGUGAUGGAUACACCUCCAUGGACAAGGGGAAAGACAAGUUCAGGUGGAGGAUAGGUUUCUUACAAGGUGUUAGCUGUGCCACUCCUGCUCCCCUGCUUCUGCUGAUGGCCAUGAGGAAGAUUGAGCCCACAGGAAAUAUUCCAUGAAGGCCUCCUUUCAAUCUGCAGGAAAGGCCUCAUUUCGUUUUCCAUCAGUGUAGCACCUCUCUUCCUGUUCUUCAUGAUUUUUUGCCAUGAACAUGGAUCUUUCUGUUCUAAUCAUGCAGGGAAAGGAGGCAGGUAACUCUGGAGGAGCCAAUGCCAGCUGCAAGUCUGUAGUUUGAGAAAGACUACAGUUGGAUUAGUUAAUGGGACCCUGGUGAACAGAGCGGAUGAGGUGAGAUAAAGGCAGGGAGGUCCAACAAUAAGCUGCAAGCAAGUGGGAAAGCUGUGAGUAGCUGUACAAGGAGGCCAUCUUUGUUUUCUCUGAGUUCAGAUGCCUCUCAUUUGGCUUCCUGCACUACCGAGCAAAUUUUAGUACCUAUGCUCCUGUCCCUGCCUGACCGUAGUAUCUUUGAAGACCUUUUGCUUGUUGAAUGUUUACUUCUGUGGAUCUGCAUGCAUUUCAGACAACAUUUAUGUCGUGUCUUUCAUAAAUAAAGAACUCGACAAAAGCUUGACUAAACCCC